rnacentral:rRNA from 1 species
AGCAGCCGCGGUAAUUCCAGCUCCAAUAGCGUAUAUUAAAGUUGUUGCAGUUAAAAAGCUCGUAGUUGAAUUUCGGGAUCAAGGAAUCGGUCAUGCCUUGGUAUGUACUGGUUUUAUUGGUUCUCACCUUCUAAAGAACCAUAAUGUCAUCUAUUUGAUGUUAUGGGGAAUUAGGACUGUUACCUUGAAAAAUUAGAGUGUUUAAAGCAAGCUUACGCUUGAAUACAUUAGCAUGGAAUAAUGAAAUAGGACGUUCGAACCUAUUUUGUUGGUUUCUAGGAUCAACGUAAUGAUUAAUAGGGAUAGUUGGGGGCAUUAGUGUUCAAUUGUCAGAGGUGAAAUUCUUGGAUUUAUUGAAGACUAACUACUGCGAAAGCAUUUGCCAAGGAUGUUUUCAUUAAUCAAGAACGAAAGUUAGGGGAUCGAAGACGAUCAGAUACCGUCGUAGUC